rnacentral:rRNA from 1 species
UAAAAAAAGGUAAGCUACUAAGAGCGAAUGGUGGAUGCCUUGACUGGUAAAGGCGAUGAAGGACGUACUAGACUGCGAUAAGCUACGGGGAGCUGUCAAGAAGCUUUGAUCCGUAGAUUUCCGAAUGGGGCAACCCAAUGUAUAGAGAUAUACAUUACCUAUAUAGGAGCGAACGAGGGGAAUUGAAACAUCUUAGUACCCUCAGGAAAAGAAAUCAAUAGAGAUUGCGUCAGUAGCGGCGAGCGAAAGCGCAAGAGGGCAAACCCAGUGCUUGCACUGGGGGUUGUAGGACUGCAAUGUGCAAGAGGUAAGUUUAGCAGAACAUUCUGGAAAGUAUAACCAUAGAGGGUGAUAGUCCCGUAUGCGAAAAACAAACCUUAGCUAGCAGUAUCCUGAGUAGGGCGGGACACGAGGAAUCCUGUCUGAAUCCGGGUCGACCACGAUCCAACCCUAAAUACUAAUACCAGAUCGAUAGUGCACAAGUACCGUGAGGGAAAGGUGAAAAGAACUGAGGUGAUCAGAGUGAAAUAGAACCUGAAACCAUUUGCUUACAAUCAUUCAGAGCCCUAUGUAGCAAUACAGGGUGAUGGACUGCCUUUUGCAUAAUGAGCCUGCGAGUUGUGGUGUCUGGCAAGGUUAAGCAAACGCGAAGCCGUAGCGAAAGCGAGUCUGAAUAGGGCGCUUAGUCAGAUGCUGCAGACCCGAAACGAAGUGAUCUAUCCAUGAGCAAGUUGAAGCUAGUGUAAGAACUAGUGGAGGACUGAACCCAUAGGCGUUGAAAAGCCCCGGGAUGACUUGUGGAUAGGGGUGAAAGGCCAAUCAAACUUCGUGAUAGCUGGUUCUCUCCGAAAUAUAUUUAGGUAUAGCGUUGUGUCGUAAUAUAAGGGGGUAGAGCACUGAAUGGGCUAGGGCAUACACCAAUGUACCAAACCCUAUCAAACUCCGAAUACCUUAUAUGUAAUCACAGCAGUCAGGCGGCGAGUGAUAAAAUCCGUCGUCAAGAGGGAAACAACCCAGACUACCAGCUAAGGUCCCUAAAUCUUACUUAAGUGGAAAACGAUGUGAAGUUACUUAAACAACCAGGAGGUUGGCUUAGAAGCAGCCAUCCUUUAAAGAAAGCGUAAUAGCUCACUGGUCUAGUGAUUUUGCGCGGAAAAUAUAACGGGGCUAAAGUAAGUACCGAAGCUGUAGACUUGCACACAACUUAGAUUAUUUAAGUUUAGAAUAUGAGAAACUAAGUUAUAUGUUUAGUUAUAUUUUUACUGAUUUUUAUAGAGUAAAGAUAGAAAUAAAACUUAGUAAAAUCAGUAAAAAUAUUCUUAGACUAAAGUUAAGUAGUUUAAGUUGUGUGCAAGUGGUAGGAGAGCGUUCUAUUUGCGUCGAAGGUAUACCGGUAAGGAGUGCUGGAGCGAAUAGAAGUGAGCAUGCAGGCAUGAGUAGCGAUAAUUAAUGUGAGAAUCAUUAACGCCGUAAACCCAAGGUUUCCUACGCGAUGCUCGUCAUCGUAGGGUUAGUCGGGUCCUAAGUCGAGUCCGAAAGGGGUAGACGAUGGCAAAUUGGUUAAUAUUCCAAUACCAACAUUAGUGUGCGAUGGAAGGACGCUUAGGGCUAAGGGGGCUAGCGGAUGGAAGUGCUAGUCUAAGGUCGUAGGAGGUUAUACAGGCAAAUCCGUAUAACAAUACUCCGAGAACUGAAAGGCUUUUUGAAGUCUUCGGAUGGAUAGAAGAACCCCUGAUGCCGUCGAGCCAAGAAAAGUUUCUAAGUUUAGCUAAUGUUGCCCGUACCGUAAACCGACACAGGUGGGUGGGAUGAGUAUUCUAAGGCGCGUGGAAGAACUCUCUUUAAGGAACUCUGCAAAAUAGCACCGUAUCUUCGGUAUAAGGUGUGGUUAGCUUUGUAUUAGGAUUUACUCCGAAAGCAAGGAAACUUACAACAAAGAGUCCCUCCCGACUGUUUACCAAAAACACAGCACUCUGCUAACUCGUAAGAGGAUGUAUAGGGUGUGACGCCUGCCCGGUGCUCGAAGGUUAAUUGAUGGGGUUAGCAUUAGCGAAGCUCUUGAUCGAAGCCCGAGUAAACGGCGGCCGUAACUAUAACGGUCCUAAGGUAGCGAAAUUCCUUGUCGGUUAAAUACCGACCUGCAUGAAUGGCGUAACGAGAUGGGAGCUGUCUCAAAGAGGGAUCCAGUGAAAUUGUAGUGGAGGUGAAAAUUCCUCCUACCCGCGGCAAGACGGAAAGACCCCGUGGACCUUUACUACAGCUUGACACUGCUACUUGGAUAAGAAUGUGCAGGAUAGGUGGGAGGCUUUGAGUAUAUGACGCCAGUUGUAUAUGAGCCAUUGUUGAGAUACCACUCUUUCUUAUUUGGGUAGCUAACCAGCUUGAGUUAUCCUCAAGUGGGACAAUGUCUGGUGGGUAGUUUGACUGGGGCGGUCGCCUCCCAAAUAAUAACGGAGGCUUACAAAGGUUGGCUCAGAACGGUUGGAAAUCGUUCGUAGAGUAUAAAGGUAUAAGCCAGCUUAACUGCAAGACAUACAAGUCAAGCAGAGACGAAAGUCGGUCGUAGGGAUCCGGUGGUUCUGUGUGGAAGGGCCAUCGCGCAAAGGAUAAAAGGUACCCCGGGGAUAACAGGCUGAUCUCCCCCAAGAGCUCACAUCGACGGGGAGGUUUGGCACCUCGAUGUCGGCUCAUCGCAUCCUGGGGCUGGAGCAGGUCCCAAGGGUAUGGCUGUUCGCCAUUUAAAGCGGUACGCGAGCUGGGUUCAGAACGUCGUGAGACAGUUCGGUCCCUAUCUGCCGUGGGCGUAAGAAGAUUGAAGAGAUUUGACCCUAGUACGAGAGGACCGGGUUGAACAAACCACUGGUGUAGCUGUUGUUCUGCCAAGAGCAUCGCAGCGUAGCUAAGUUUGGAAAGGAUAAACGCUGAAAGCAUCUAAGCGUGAAGCCAACUCUAAGAUGAAUCUUCUCUAAGCUCUCUAGAAGACUACUAGUUUGAUAGGCUGGGUGUGUAAUGGAUGAAAGUCCUUUAGCUGACCAGUACUAAUAGAGCGUUUGGCUUAUCUUUAAUAAAGCAU